rnacentral:rRNA from 1 species
GAUGAACGCUAGCGGGAGGCCUAAUACAUGCAAGUCGAACGGUAACAGGUAGCAAUACGCUGACGAGUGGCGCACGGGUGCGUAACGCGUACACAAUCUGCCUUAUACUGGGGCAUAGCCUUUGGAAACGAAGAAUAAUUCCCCAUAACAUAUAGAAGAGGCAUCUCUUUUAUUAUUAAAGACUCAGGCGGUAUAAGAUGAGUGUGCGUCCGAUUAGGUAGUUGGUGAGGUAACGGCUCACCAAGCCAACGAUCGGUAGCUGGUCUGAGAGGAUGAUCAGCCACACGGGCACUGAGACACGGGCCCGACUCCUACGGGAGGCAGCAGUAGGGAAUAUUGGACAAUGGGCGGCAAGCCUGAUCCAGCCAUCCCGCGUGAAGGAUGAA